CAUCGCGAGGUGGAAUCUAAAGGAAGCUGGUGGCAAACAUCUGGUCUGACGAACAGAAACUUCAUAUAAGGCAUAUAACCGUGGGUAAGGUUGCAAAGCAAACCAAAGCCCUAUAGCUAUUCGGAACUGUUGAUGGAUUUUCCUUGAGCUUGCGAAAAAAUGGAGCAGACAUAAGAUGGAAAGUUA
rnacentral:ncRNA from 1 species